UCCACUUCCUUGAAGAGAAGAACCCCUGAAAUUCAUCUCCAGGGCAAGGCAAGAUGAUGGUUGCUCUCAUCGGCCCAGCACUGAGAUUUUAUAUGGCUUCAAUCCACUGGAAUUUGUAGGCAAAUGUUACCCUUUUGUCUUUGGCAAACCCAACCGCACAUUGCAUAUUCACAAAGCCAGACUGAGACACUGAGAACUGGGAACUCCUCCUCCUCCUACCACCUCCAUCUUCCUCAGCUCUUUCUCUGCCUAUCCUGUUCUUUCUCCUGAGCGCACCCCGGCAGUGCCAGCAGUGCGGCGUCUUCAGCAUGCCAGGAGCAUGUCUGGCUCCUUGGUGCUCCUUCCGGAGUCCUGUGGAAGCUUAUGCAGGGUUUGAACAUUAUCUGGGAAAUCAUUUGUUUAGCUUCGCCCCCACUCUGUGUAGAAUAGAAAGAAAAGAAGGUCAGAGAAAGGACCUCAGAAGCCCUUUCAGUACAUUUAUAGACAUGAAUGAAAGGAGAAAAAUAUAGAUCUAUAAAUCUAGCCGAAGUUGGAAAAAUCCCAGGCAAACAAACACUGAGUGCUUAUAGCUCACUUUAAUCUGAGGAGAAAAAAGGAAAGGAGAGCAAAAGGAGGGAGGAAGGGGAAAAUGAAUGAAGACACCAGCAUUUACUGACUUCUGUGUCUCUCACCCAGUGGUUGGUGUUUUGAGACCGGAACAAGAGACAGACUUUGUUUUCAGUUUAGAUUCAUCACUAAAUGAUGUGUGACUUUUGGCAAGUCAUUUUGCUCUCUAGGCUUUGUUUUACAUUCCAAAAAUGUUGGGGUAGAUAUCUCUAAACUCCCAUCUAGGCUGAUGCAUGUAGAGAUAUAGAAUCUUUACAGACCAAUGCUUCCUCCUGCAAUAACUCAGUGAAAAAGAGCAGUCCCCAAUACCUCGUGAUUGCACACAAAGGCAGCUGGAGUCCCAUGAUGAAUGUUUGCUCUGGGGCUCAGUGCUGGCUGAUGGGGUUGCCUCUUGUGUUUUCAUUCUAGCAUGAUAUUCUUUCUUCUUAUUCAGGACAAAGAUCUGGCUAGGUGUUGAUGACCAGUAGACUAGGAAGGCCACCAUAUGUCAUUGGCAGAUCUGAGCCAUCAGCUAGGAUAAGGGAAGGACUAAGUCAGUGAAGAGGAGAUCAGGUAGGACAAGAGGCAGAGAGGGAGAAUAAGGAGACACGAGUGUGAGGUGGCAGAGGAGGAUUGUUGCGGAGUUGUAUUUGUGUGGAAGGCCUUUAGCCAAGUAUUUUGGUAAGACCAGCUUGCUUUAUUUCGGGGGAUGAAUAUUUAGCUGAGUGCAAUGGACUAAGGUAAUAAUAACUAUUAAGGGGCUUGAAUUCUUGUCUUGGUUCUUGCACUAACGGACACAUACCUUUCCCUUUCUCUGCUCAUCUACAAAAUAAAGACAGUGCAUGGUCUUUUCAAUGAUCUUCCUUCACAAUAGCAUCUCGGUCACUUGCCCUGGCACCCUAGAGAAAACCUAGGACCACUUAAUUUUCCCAGGUCACUUUGCCAUGCCAAUUUUAAAACCUGUCAGCUUUUCUACAGAUCCAAGUGAUUGUCGAGAGAGAGUGUUCAGCUUAGAGUUGGCUGCCUUCUGUAAGGCCUCCACUCUUCAGGGGGACAUGGGUGCUAUGCUGAGCUGCCUGGCACCCCCUCAUCUCUCCUUCUUGUAUUCUCCUCUGCCACAUUUGCAUCCAUUUGACCACUAUCUGGAGAAUACCUGUUGAGGGUGUUGUCAAGGUGAUUCCUGCACCAGCUGGGAAUUUAACUAGGUGUUCUUUGGAGCUCCCCUU
rnacentral:lncRNA from 1 species